rnacentral:rRNA from 1 species
GACGAACGCUGGCGGCGUGCUUAACACAUGCAAGUCGAACGGUAAGGCCCUGCUUUUGUGGGGUGCUCGAGUGGCGAACGGGUGUGUAACACGCGAGUAACCUCCCCCUGACUUUGGGAUAACUUCAUGAAACUGGGGUGAUAACCGGAUAUGAGCUCCUGCUGCAUGGUGGGGGUGGGUGAGUGUCGGCGGUUGGGGAUUUACUCGCGGCACAUCAGCGUGUUGGUGAGGUAGUGGCUUACCAAGGCUUCGACGGGUAGCCGGCCUGGGACGGUGACCGGCCACAUAGUGCCUGAGAUAGGGCCAGGACUCAUACGGGGGGCAUCGGCGGAAGAUAGUGCGCGAAAGGCGGAAGCAGUAUGGAGCAACUCCGCGUGCGGGAUGACGGCCUGCGGGUUGGAACCCGCUUGCGACUGUAAAGAAGCGUGAGUGACGGUAAUGGGUAAGGAAGCACCGGCUAACUACGUG